rnacentral:rRNA from 1 species
UACGGGGGGGGCAAGCGUUGUUCGGAAUUACUGGGCGUAAAGGGCUCGUAGGUGGCCAACUAAGUCGGACGCGAAGUCCCUCAGCUUAACUGGGGAACUGCGUCCGAUACUGGAUGGCUCGAGUUUGGGAGAGGGAUGCGGAAUUCCAGGUGUAGCGGUGAAAUGCGUAGAUAUCUGGAGGAACACCGGUGGCGAAGGCGGCAUCCUGGACCAACACUGACACUGAGGAGCGAAAGCCAGGGGAGCAAACGGG